CGGGGUGAGUAACGCGUGGGUAACCUGCCUUGUACUGGGGGACAACAGUUAGAAAUGACUGCUAAUACCGCAUAAGCGCACAGUAUCGCAUGAUACAGUGUGAAAAACUCCGGUGGUACAAGAUGGACCCGCGUCUGAUUAGCUAGUUGGUAAGGUAGCGGCUUACCAAGGCGACGAUCAGUAGCCGACCUGAGAGGGUGACCGGCCACAUUGGGACUGAGACACGGCCCAA
rnacentral:rRNA from 1 species